AAAUUGAAGAGUUUGAUCAUGGCUCAGAUUGAACGCUGGCGGCAGGCCUAACACAUGCAAGUCGAGCGGUAGCACAGAGAGCUUGCUCUCGGGUGACGAGCGGCGGACGGGUGAGUAAUGUCUGGGAAACUGCCUGAUGGAGGGGGAUAACUACUGGAAACGGUAGCUAAUACCGCAUAACGUCGCAAGACCAAAGUGGGGGACCUUCGGGCCUCAUGCCAUCAGAUGUGCCCAGAUGGGAUUAGCUAGUAGGUGGGGUAACGGCUCACCUAGGCGACGAUCCCUAGCUGGUCUGAGAGGAUGACCAGCCACACUGGAACUGAGACACGGUCCAGACUCCUACGGGAGGCAGCAGUGGGGAAUAUUGCACAAUGGGCGCAAGCCUGAUGCAGCCAUGCCGCGUGUAUGAAGAAGGCCUUCGGGUUGUAAAGUACUUUCAGCGAGGAGGAAGGCGGUGAGGUUAAUAACCUCAUCGAUUGACGUUACUCGCAGAAGAAGCACCGGCUAACUCCGUGCCAGCAGCCGCGGUAAUACGGAGGGUGCAAGCGUUAAUCGGAAUUACUGGGCGUAAAGCGCACGCAGGCGGUCUGUUAAGUCAGAUGUGAAAUCCCCGGGCUCAACCUGGGAACUGCAUUUGAAACUGGCAGGCUUGAGUCUUGUAGAGGGGGGUAGAAUUCCAGGUGUAGCGGUGAAAUGCGUAGAGAUCUGGAGGAAUACCGGUGGCGAAGGCGGCCCCCUGGACAAAGACUGACGCUCAGGUGCGAAAGCGUGGGGAGCAAACAGGAUUAGAUACCCUGGUAGUCCACGCUGUAAACGAUGUCGACUUGGAGGUUGUUCCCUUGAGGAGUGGCUUCCGGAGCUAACGCGUUAAGUCGACCGCCUGGGGAGUACGGCCGCAAGGUUAAAACUCAAAUGAAUUGACGGGGGCCCGCACAAGCGGUGGAGCAUGUGGUUUAAUUCGAUGCAACGCGAAGAACCUUACCUACUCUUGACAUCCAGAGAACUUAGCAGAGAUGCUUUGGUGCCUUCGGGAACUCUGAGACAGGUGCUGCAUGGCUGUCGUCAGCUCGUGUUGUGAAAUGUUGGGUUAAGUCCCGCAACGAGCGCAACCCUUAUCCUUUGUUGCCAGCGAUUUGGUCGGGAACUCAAAGGAGACUGCCAGUGAUAAACUGGAGGAAGGUGGGGAUGACGUCAAGUCAUCAUGGCCCUUACGAGUAGGGCUACACACGUGCUACAAUGGCAUAUACAAAGAGAAGCGACCUCGCGAGAGCAAGCGGACCUCAUAAAGUAUGUCGUAGUCCGGAUUGGAGUCUGCAACUCGACUCCAUGAAGUCGGAAUCGCUAGUAAUCGUAGAUCAGAAUGCUACGGUGAAUACGUUCCCGGGCCUUGUACACACCGCCCGUCACACCAUGGGAGUGGGUUGCAAAAGAAGUAGGUAGCUUAACCUUCGGGAGGGCGCUUACCACUUUGUGAUUCAUGACUGGGGUGAAGUCGUAACAAGGUAACCGUAGGGGAACCUGCGGUUGGAUCACCUCCUUACCUGAAAGAA
rnacentral:rRNA from 1 species